GACGAACGCUGGCGGCGUGCUUCAUACAUGCAAGUCGAACGAGAAUCUCUAGCUUGCUAGAGAGGAAAGUGGCGGACGGGUGAGUAAUAUAUAGGAAAUCUGCCCUUAGGUGGGGGACAACAGUUGGAAACGACUGCUAAUACCGCAUAUGAGCUACACUGAAAUGUGUAUCUUGAAAACUCUGGUGCCUAAGGAUGAGCCUGUAGCUGAUUAGCUAGUUGGUGGUGUAAUGGACUACCAAGGCGACGAUCAGUAGCUGGUUUGAGAGGAUGAUCAGCCACAAUGGGACUGAGACACGGCCCAUACUCCUACGGGAGGCAGCAGUAGGGAAUAUUGGGCAAUGGGGGAAACCCUGACCCAGCAACGCCGCGUGAAGGAAGAAGGCCUUCGGGUUGUAACGUUACUUUAGUCAGGACGAAGGACGUGACGGUACCUGCAGAAAAGACAACGGCUAACUACGUG
rnacentral:rRNA from 1 species